rnacentral:rRNA from 1 species
GACGAACGCUGGCGGCGUGCUUAACACAUGCAAGUCGAACGGAAAGGCCCUGCUUUUGUGGGGUGCUCGAGAGGCGAACGGGUGAGUAACACGUGAGUAACCUGCCCUUGACUUUGGGAUAACUUCAGGAAACUGGGGCUAAUACCGGAUAGGAGCUCCUGCUGCAUGGUGGGGGUUGGAAAGUUUCGGCGGUUGGGGAUGGACUCUCGGCUUAUCAGCUUGUUGGUGGGGUAGUGGCUUACCAAGGCUUUGACGGGUAGCCGGCCUGAGAGGGUGACCGGCCACAUUGGGACUGAGAUACGGCCCAGACUCCUACGGGAGGCAGCAGUGGGGAAUAUUGCACAAUGGGCGGAAGCCUGAUGCAGCAACGCCGCGUGCGGGAUGACGGCCUUCGGGUUGUAAACCGCUUUCGCCUGUGACGAAGCGUGAGUGACGGUAAUGGGUAAAGAAGCACCGGCUAACUACGUG